UACGUAGGUGGUUUAUUAAGUCAGAUGUGAAAGCCCCGGGCUUAACCUGGGAACUGCAUUUGAUACUGGUAGACUAGAGUAUGGCAGAGGGGGGUAGAAUUCCUAGUGUAGCGGUGAAAUGCGUAGAUAUUAGGAGGAAUACCAGUGGCGAAGGCGGCCCCCCUGGACCAAUACUGACACUGAGGUACGAAAGCGUGGGUAGCGAACA
rnacentral:rRNA from 1 species